rnacentral:rRNA from 1 species
UACGAAGGGGGCUAGCGUUGCUCGGAAUCACUGGGCGUAAAGGGCGCGUAGGCGGAUCUUUAAGUCAGGGGUGAAAUCCUGGAGCUCAACUCCAGAACUGCCUUUGAUACUGGGAAGCUUGAGUCCGGAAGAGGUGAGUGGAACUGCGAGUGUAGAGGUGAAAUUCGUAGAUAUUCGCAAGAACACCAGUGGCGAAGGCGGCUUACUGGUCCGGUUCGUGACGCUGAGGCGCGAAAGCGUGGGGAGCGAACAGG